rnacentral:rRNA from 1 species
GGUUAAGCGACUAAGCGUACACGGUGGAUGCCCUGGCAGUCAGAGGCGAUGAAGGACGUGCUAAUCUGCGAAAAGCGUCGGUAAGGUGAUAUGAACCGUUAUAACCGGCGAUGUCCGAAUGGGGAAACCCAGUGUGAUUCGUCACACUAUCGUUAACUGAAUACAUAGGUUAACGAGGCGAACCGGGGGAACUGAAACAUCUAAGUACCCCGAGGAAAAGAAAUCAACCGAGAUUCCCCCAGUAGCGGCGAGCGAACGGGGAGCAGCCCAGAGUCUGAAUCAGCUUGUGUGUUAGUGGAACGGUCUGGAAAGUCCGACGGUACAGGGUGAUAGUCCCGUACACCAAAAUGCACAGGUUGUGAACUCGAAGAGUAGGGCGGGACACGUGGUAUCCUGUCUGAAUAUGGGGGGACCAUCCUCCAAGGCUAAAUACUCCUGACUGACCGAUAGUGAACCAGUACCGUGAGGGAAAGGCGAAAAGAACCCCGGCGAGGGGAGUGAAAAAGAACCUGAAACCGUGUACGUACAAGCAGUGGGAGCACCUUCGGGUGUGACUGCGUACCUUUUGUAUAAUGGGUCAGCGACUUAUAUUCUGUAGCAAGGUUAACCGUAUAGGGGAGCCGCAGGGAAACCGAGUCUUAACUGGGCGUUAAGUUGCAGGGUAUAGACCCGAAACCCGGUGAUCUAGCCAUGGGCAGGUUGAAGGUUGGGUAACACUAACUGGAGGACCGAACCGACUAAUGUUGAAAAAUUAGCGGAUGACUUGUGGCUGGGGGUGAAAGGCCAAUCAAACCGGGAGAUAGCUGGUUCUCCCCGAAAGCUAUUUAGGUAGCGCCUCGUGAACUCAUCUUCGGGGGUAGAGCACUGUUUCGGCUAGGGGGUCAUCCCGACUUACCAACCCGAUGCAAACUACGAAUACCGAAGAAUGUUAUCACGGGAGACACACGGCGGGUGCUAACGUCCGUCGUGAAGAGGGAAACAACCCAGACCGCCAGCUAAGGUCCCAAAGUCAUGGUUAAGUGGGAAACGAUGUGGGAAGGCACAGACAGCCAGGAUGUUGGCUUAGAAGCAGCCAUCAUUUAAAGAAAGCGUAAUAGCUCACUGGUCGAGUCGGCCUGCGCGGAAGAUGUAACGGGGCUAAACCAUGCACCGAAGCUGCGGCAGCGACACUAUGUGUUGUUGGGUAGGGGAGCGUUCUGUAAGCCUGCGAAGGUGACCUGUGAGGGUUGCUGGAGGUAUCAGAAGUGCGAAUGCUGACAUAAGUAACGAUAAAGCGGGUGAAAAGCCCGCUCGCCGGAAGACCAAGGGUUCCUGUCCAACGUUAAUCGGGGCAGGGUGAGUCGACCCCUAAGGCGAGGCCGAAAGGCGUAGUCGAUGGGAAACAGGUUAAUAUUCCUGUACUUGGUGUUACUGCGAAGGGGGGACGGAGAAGGCUAUGUUAGCCGGGCGACGGUUGUCCCGGUUUAAGCAUGUAGGCUGGUUAUCCAGGCAAAUCCGGAUAAUCAAGGCUGAGGUGUGAUGACGAGGCACUACGGUGCUGAAGUAACAAAUGCCCUGCUUCCAGGAAAAGCCUCUAAGCAUCAGGUAACAUCAAAUCGUACCCCAAACCGACACAGGUGGUCAGGUAGAGAAUACCAAGGCGCUUGAGAGAACUCGGGUGAAGGAACUAGGCAAAAUGGUGCCGUAACUUCGGGAGAAGGCACGCUGGUGUGUAGGUGAAGUCCCUGCGGAUGGAGCUGAGACCAGUCGAAGAUACCAGCUGGCUGCAACUGUUUAUUAAAAACACAGCACUGUGCAAACACGAAAGUGGACGUAUACGGUGUGACGCCUGCCCGGUGCCGGAAGGUUAAUUGAUGGGGUUAUCCGUAAGGAGAAGCUCUUGAUCGAAGCCCCGGUAAACGGCGGCCGUAACUAUAACGGUCCUAAGGUAGCGAAAUUCCUUGUCGGGUAAGUUCCGACCUGCACGAAUGGCGUAAUGAUGGCCAGGCUGUCUCCACCCGAGACUCAGUGAAAUUGAACUCGCUGUGAAGAUGCAGUGUACCCGCGGCAAGACGGAAAGACCCCGUGAACCUUUACUAUAGCUUGACACUGAACAUUGAGCCUUGAUGUGUAGGAUAGGUGGGAGGCUUUGAAGCGUGGACGCCAGUCUGCGUGGAGCCAACCUUGAAAUACCACCCUUUAAUGUUUGAUGUUCUAACGUUGGCCCCUUACCGGGGUUGCGGACAGUGUCUGGUGGGUAGUUUGACUGGGGCGGUCUCCUCCCAAAGCGUAACGGAGGAGCACGAAGGUUAGCUAACCCUGGUCGGACAUCAGGAGGUUAGUGCAAUGGCAUAAGCUAGCUUGACUGCGAGCGUGACGGCGCGAGCAGGUGCGAAAGCAGGUCAUAGUGAUCCGGUGGUUCUGAAUGGAAGGGCCAUCGCUCAACGGAUAAAAGGUACUCCGGGGAUAACAGGCUGAUACCGCCCAAGAGUUCAUAUCGACGGCGGUGUUUGGCACCUCGAUGUCGGCUCAUCACAUCCUGGGGCUGAAGUAGGUCCCAAGGGUAUGGCUGUUCGCCAUUUAAAGUGGUACGCGAGCUGGGUUUAGAACGUCGUGAGACAGUUCGGUCCCUAUCUGCCGUGGGCGCUGGAGAAUUGAGGGGGGCUGCUCCUAGUACGAGAGGACCGGAGUGGACGCAUCACUGGUGUUCGGGUUGUCAUGCCAAUGGCACUGCCCGGUAGCUAAAUGCGGAAGAGAUAAGUGCUGAAAGCAUCUAAGCACGAAACUUGCCCCGAGAUGAGUUCUCCCUGAGACUUUAAGUCUCCUGAAGGAACGUUGAAGACGACGACGUUGAUAGGCCGGGUGUGUAAGCGCAGCGAUGCGUUGAGCUAACCGGUACUAAUGAACCGUGAGGCUUAACCUU